rnacentral:rRNA from 1 species
UGAGGAAUAUUGGACAAUGGAUGGAAAUCUGAUCCAGCCAUGCCGCGUGCAGGAAGACGGUCCUAUGGAUUGUAAACUGCUUUAGCAUGGGAGCAAUAAGGUGUACGCGUACACCGAUGAGAGUACCAUGAGAAUAAGCACCGGCUAACUCCGUGCCAGCAGCUGCGGUAAUACGGAGGAUGCGAGCGUUAUCCGGAUUUAUUGGGUUUAAAGGGUGCGCAGGCGGACUCGUCAAGUCAGCGGUAAAAAUUCGGGGCUCAACCCCGUCCUGCCGUUGAAACUGCGAGACUGGAGUGCGACAGAGGAAGGCGGAAUGCGAGGUGUAGCGGUGAAAUGCAUAGAUAUCGCGCAGAACUCCGAUUGCGAAGGCAGCUUUCCAUGUCGU